AGGGCGUUCAGUAACAUGCAAUGGGCCCGAAACCGGGUGACCUACCCAUGAUCAGGCUGAAGUGAAAGUAAAAUUUCAUGGAGGGCCGAACCGACCUCCGUUGAAAAGGCGGCGGAUGAAUUGUGGGUAGCGGAGAAAUUCCAAUCGAACUCGGAGAUAGCUGGUUCUCCCCGAAAUAGCUUUAGGGCUAGCCUCAUAUUAGAUACCCGGAGGUAAAGCACUGAAUGGCCUAGCGCCCGAGAGGGUAGCGAAGCCUAUCAAACUAAGAAUGCCGGAGUAUUGAUGUAUGGGAGUCAGACAGUGUGAGAUAAAUCUCAUUGUCAAAAGGGAAACAGCCCAGAUCUACAGCUAAGGUCCCAAAUUGUAUCUAAGUGGAAAACGAUGUGGAAAUACGCAGACAACCAGGAUGUUGGCUCAGAAGCAGCCACUCAUUUAAAGAGUGCGUAAUAGCUCACUGGUCGAGCGUCUCUGCGCGGAAAAUUUAACGGGGCUAAGAUACAAACCGAAGCUUAGGCUGCACGAAAGUGCGGGGUAGGGGAGCGUUGUGUAAGCGGAGAAACAGUAGCGUAAGCGGCUGUGGAGUUUACAGAAGUGAGAAUGCCGGAAUGAGUAGCGCGAAUGUGGUGAGAAUCCACAUGGCCGGAAACCUCAGGUUUUUGGAGGAAGGUUCGUCCGCUCCAAGUUAGGCGGGAGCUAAGGUCAGGCCGAAAGGCGUAGCCGAUGCACAGACGGUAGAGAUUCCGUCCCCACCGAAAGAUUUAAGCACAGGGACACUUUUUGAAGGUCGGAGCCAGGUGUUGGUUCUGGUAGUGAUCGAGGGAAAUUUAGUACCGAAGUCUGGCUGGAUGAGAGGCGAGAAAAGCUGUGUGUAUAUCUAAGGUGCCCGUACCGCAAACCGACACAGGUAGGUAGGAAGAAGAUUCUAAGGCCAACGGGAGAAGGGUUGUUAAGGAACUCGGCAAGUUGACCCCGUAACUUCGGAAUAAGGGGUGCUCACGAGAGUGAGCCGCAGAGAAUAGGCCCAGGCAACUGUUUACCAAAAACACAGGUUUGUGCUAAAUCGAAAGAUGACGUAUACGAGCUGACGCCUGCCCGGUGCUGGAAGGUUAAAAGGAGAUGUGCAAGCAUUGAAUUGAAGCCCCAGUGAACGGCGGCCGUAACUAUAACGGUCCUAAGGUAGCGAAAUUCCUUGUCAGGUAAGUUCUGACCCGCAUGAAAGGCGUAAUGAUCUGGGCACUGUCUCAACAGCCCGCCCGGCGAAAUUGUAGUACCGGUGAAGAUGCCGGUUACCCGCGACAAGACGGAAAGACCCCAUGGAGCUUUACUGUAGCCUGAUAUUGGGUUUCGGUGUUGCAUGCACAGGAUAGAUGGGACGCUGGGAAGGCAGUGCUUUGGCAUUGCUGGAGCGGACGUUGGGAUACCAUCCUUGCGACAUUGGAAUUCUAACCUGCGCCUCUGAAUCGAGGCGGGGGACAUUGUCAGGUGGGCAGUUUGACUGGGGCGGUCGCCUCCUAAAAAGUAGCGGAGGCGUUCAAAGGUUCGUUCGAUCUGGACGGAAACCAGAUGAUUGAGUGCAAACGCAUAAACGAGCCUGACUGCGAGACUGACGGGUCGAGCAGAGACGAAAGUCGGAGUUAGUGAUCCGGUGGUAUGUGAGUGGAAAUGCCAUCGCUCAACGGAUAAAAGUUACCCUGGGGAUAACAGGCUGAUCUCCCCCAAGAGUCCACAUCGACGGGGAGGUUUGGCACCUCGAUGUCGGCUCAUCGCAUCCUGGGGCUGAAUUCGGUCCCAAGGGUUUGGCUGUUCGCCAAUUAAAGCGGUACGCGAGCUGGGUUCAGAACGUCGUGAGACAGUUCGGUCCCUAUCUGUCGUGGGCGCAGGAUAUUUGCAAGGCGCUGUCCCUAGUACGAGAGGACCGGGAUGGACGAACCUCUGGUGCACCAGUUGUCACGCCAGUGGCACAGCUGGGCAGCUAUGUUCGGAUCGGAUAAACGCUGAAAGCAUCUAAGCGUGAAGCCGGCCUUAAGAUAAGAUAUCCCACUGAGUCAAUCAGGUAAGACCCCUUGAAGACUACAAGGUUGAUAGGCACACAGUGUAAGCGGAGUGAUCCGUUCAGCUAGCGUGUACUAAUAGGUCGAGGGCUUGACCCC
rnacentral:rRNA from 1 species